GGCAGUGGAAAAAUAAGCUGCCCAACUCUGUUAUCUGUUAUUUUUUUAUAUCAGUGAUUGAACCCAGAGGAACUUAAUCACUGGGUCACAUCCCUAGACUCUUUAAUAUUUUAUUAAGAGACAGGGACUCACUGAGUUUCUUAGGGCCUCACUAAGUUGCUGAGACUGGCUUUGAACACAUAAUCCUUCUGCUUCAGCCUUCCAAGCCACUAGCAUUACAGGCAUGCAUCACAAAGUACAGCUAUGGCAAAUUUAUUUUUCACAAGGUUCUCAAGUUAAUUCAAGUGAGAAUAGCAUCUUCCACAAAUAAGAUAGGAAUAAAAUUGCAUAUUUAAUGCAAAAGAGUGAUAAUGUAUUUUACAUGGGAUUAUAUAAAUAAUUAACUCAGAAUCAUUCUGGACUUAAAUAUAACAGCUAAAAUUAUUUAAAAAAAUAAAAAUAGUACUGAAUCAAAUGUUCUUGAAUUAGACUGACCAGUGGGUGGAGCCUUAGAUAUGCUUCAAAAAUACAUACACACAAAUAAAUAAAUAAAUUUGAUUUUAAAAAUUUUCUGUGAAAUUUUAUACUAAACAAUAGAAUGCAUAGAUUAUAAAUUAGUGAUAUGAAUCAAAAUAGCUGCAGAUUAAAUGAUAUUAAUAUAGUUGUUCCUGUAGUACCAUCAUUGAGAUUUCAGAGAAUGAAUAAGUUAUGUGAUCUCCUUGCUUCAGGGUCCCAAUUUGUCAAAUUGCUAUAAUUCUCUUCUCUGAAAGAUACUGUAGAUUGUUCCUAUUCUAUUUAAAGAUACUGUAGAUUGUUCCUACUCACAGUUCAUUGUAUAAAAUAUAAACUGC
rnacentral:lncRNA from 1 species